rnacentral:rRNA from 1 species
AUUGAACGCUGGCGGCAGGCUUAACACAUGCAAGUCGAGCGGGGUGAUGGUGCUUGCACUAUCACUUAGCGGCGGACGGGUGAGUAAUGCUUAGGAAUCUGCCUAUUAGUGGGGGACAACAUCUCGAAAGGGAUGCUAAUACCGCAUACGUCCUACGGGAGAAAGCAGGGGAUCACUUGUGACCUUGCGCUAAUAGAUGAGCCUAAGUCGGAUUAGCUAGUUGGUGGGGUAAAGGCCUACCAAGGCGACGAUCUGUAGCGGGUCUGAGAGGAUGAUCCGCCACACUGGGACUGAGACACGGCCCAGACGACUACGGGAGGCAGCGGUGGGGAACAUUGGACAAUGGGGGGAACCCUGAUCCAGCCAUGCCGCGUGUGUGAAGAAGGCCUUAUGGUUGUAAAGCACUUUAAGCGAGGAGGAGGCUCUUUUGGUUAUUACCCAAGAUGAGUGGACGUUACUCGCAGAGUAAGCACCGGCUAACUCUGUGCCAGCCGCCGCAGUAA